rnacentral:rRNA from 1 species
AACGAACGCUGGCGGCAGGCUUAACACAUGCAAGUCGAGCGCCCCGCAAGGGGAGCGGCAGACGGGUGAGUAACGCGUGGGAAUCUACCCAUCUCUACGGAAUAACGCAUGGAAACGGGUGCUAAUACCGUAUACGUCCUUCGGGAGAAAGAUUUAUCGGAGAUGGAUGAGCCCGCGUUGGAUUAGCUAGUUGGUGGGGUAAAGGCCUACCAAGGCGACGAUCCAUAGCCGGUCUGAGAGGAUGAUCAGCCACACUGGGACUGAGACACGGCCCAGACUCCUACGGGAGGCAGCAGUGGGGAAUAUUGGACAAUGGGCGCAAGCCUGAUCCAGCCAUGCCGCGUGAGUGAUGAAGGCCCUAGGGUUGUAAAGCUCUUUCACCGGUGAAGAUAAUGACGGUAACCGGAGAGGAAGCCCCGGCUAACUUCGUGCCAGCAGCCGCCGUAAUAC